rnacentral:rRNA from 1 species
UACGAAGGGGGCUAGCGUUGCUCGGAAUCACUGGGCGUAAAGCGCACGUAGGCGGCUUUUUAAGUCAGAGGUGAAAUCCUGGAGCUCAACUCCAGAACUGCCUUUGAUACUGGAGAGCUUGAGUCCGGGAGAGGUGAGUGGAACUGCGAGUGUAGAGGUGAAAUUCGUAGAUAUUCGCAAGAACACCAGUGGCGAAGGCGGCUCACUGGCCCGGUACUGACGCUGAGGCGCGAAAGCGUGGGGAGCGAACGGG